rnacentral:misc_RNA from 1 species
AACCUAGCACACCUGCGGUGUGUACCUGCGGAAGGAUCAUUAACAAGCUGUGGGAGAUCGAUCAAUUUGAUCUCACACCUGGCCAACCUUGUUAACCUUAAAUAUAUUGCUUUGGUGAGCCCUGCUCACCAAAGUCAAACCCUAAACUCUUGAUUGUUUCUGCUGUCUGAGCAUGCAAGUGCAAAAUUUAGUUAAAAACUUUUAGCAACGGAUCU